rnacentral:rRNA from 1 species
UGCCAGCCGCCGCGGUAAUACAGAGAGUGCAAGCGUUAAUCGGAAUUACUGGGCGUAAAGCGCACGUAGGUGGAUAUUUAAGUCGGGUGUGAAAGCCCCAGGCUCAACCUGGGAACUGCAUCCGAUACUGGGUAUCUAGAGUAUAGUAGAGGGAAGUGGAAUUUCUGGUGUAGCGGUGAAAUGCGUAGAUAUCAGAAGGAACAUCAGUGGCGAAGGCGACUUCCUGGACUAAUACUGACACUGAGGUGCGAAAGCGUGGGGAGCAAACAGGAUUAGAUA